AAAAAAAAAAAAAAUUCACCGAUGGCCGGCGAUGGGUGGCUUCUCUUCUUGGUAGUUUCUUGUUUGUCCUUUUAUCUAUCUCAACCUUUAGCUUCGUCGUCUCCUCCUUGGGGCGGAUUGGGGUUGUUCUUAGACGGAUCUAUUCUCCGGUGGCUCCGUCUCGCUUCUCCGAUCAAGGCUUAUAGGUCUGAAGUUCCCGAUCUGGUUUUCAUGUCUCGACAAUCAGGUUUCUCGACUCUAUUCUCGUUGGAUUGGGAAUGGCGGUGACUUGUUUGUUUUUCCGGCUGCUCUCGAGGUGGAUCUGAAAAGUUUUGCUCUUGGAUUUUGUUUGGCUAUUCGGUGGUGCUGCUUCGUCUGAGGUUUGUUCACUUACAGUAAGAUUCAGUUUAAAACCAUAUAAAUCAAGGUUCUUAUACAUUGAGGCUUACAAGACUCUCCGUGACAGAGGUCCUUGCCCAGCCAACCAUGUUGUGGCUCACCUAAGUGGCGAUUUCGCCUUUGUGGUCUUUGAUAAAUCAACUUCUACUCUGUUUGUAGCCUCUACCAAGUUGGUAAGGUUCCAUUGUAUUGGGAAAUAACAGCUGAUGGGUAAGUGGCAUUUGCUGAUGAUGUUGAGUUGCUAAAAGGUGCUUGUGGCAAGUCUCUUGCUUCUUUCCCUCAAGGCUGUUAUUACUCGACGGCGUUAGGUGGGCUUAGAAGCUUUGAGAACCCUAAGAACAAGAUCACAACCAUUCCUGCUAAUGAGGAAGAGAUUUGGGGGUUUAUUCUUAUAGGCAUCUGGAUAAUCUAAAAUGGUUAUAUAUAUCUCCAAUGGGAGUGUCUGUCUACGAAUGAGUAGAGAUUUAUUGAGUAAAAGGAAAAAAACUUGCGCUUUAUUUGUUUUCUUCUUCCUUCACCCUCGCGAUGUUUCGUUAUCUCUAAUGGCGAAACGAAAAGUCUCGAUCUAAAUCGUUUGAUUGUAGAUGAGAAUCGAGAAGAAACUCUCUCUAAUCCGCUGGUCAUCAUAUGCAAUAGGAGUUUGGUUGGUGAAGAUCUACAAACGAAGAGACUUUUCAAGCUUCUUCGAUGGUCAUUGAUUCAAUCUAUCUCUCUCGAUGUUCCAAUCUCUUUCGAAUUGUAAGAACAUUGAAUUAAAAACUUUGUUAUUGGAGGUAUAUUUUUUACUUUUA